rnacentral:rRNA from 1 species
AUACGUAGGGAGCGAGCGUUAUCCGGAUUUAUUGGGUGUAAAGGGUGCGUAGACGGGAAAACAAGUUAGUUGUGAAAUCCCUCGGCUUAACUGAGGAACUGCAACUAAAACUGUUUUUCUUGAGUACUGGAGAGGAAAGUGGAAUUCCUAGUGUAGCGGUGAAAUGCGUAGAUAUUAGGAGGAACACCAGUGGCGAAGGCGACUUUCUGGACAGAAACUGACGUUGAGGCACGAAAGUGUGGGGAGC